GUACCAUUUGCUUAGCAAUUUUUUUAUGUCUCAUGCAGUUUAUUGGCAGAUCUGCAUAGGCACCUCUCCAUGGAUCUGAAAAAAAAGUUGGCAGCUUUCAGAGAUGGAUACCUCUGUUCCUGAGGUUUUGCAAGUUAGAGUGAGAAAAGUCAUUGGCAUAUAAUGGUUUGUGAUGUUAAAAUGAGUAUCUACCACUGUUAAUUUUGUGUAAUCAACCUCCAAAAGCAAUGGACAUGCUAUGUCACAAUUCCAGGAGGCGCUGUGCAGUUGCAGAUCCUUCUCUGAUAAUGAAGUAAAGGAAGUUGUGCUCCGUUUGGAAGAAGCCAGAAAAAUUCUGUGCAUGAAUACAAAGACCCACCUAAUAGGCUAUGAAAUAUCUGUGGCUGUGCUAUUAAGCAAAACAGAAAAAUCUUUUCAUCAAAGGUGUCCAUAGAGCCAUGAUCAGACGAGAUUGGAUGUUAAAUCUUA